rnacentral:rRNA from 1 species
GACGAACGCUGGCGGCGUGCCUAAUACAUGCAAGUCGAACGCAGUGGGGACGGGUGAGUAACACGUGGGUAACCUCCCAUCAGAGGGGAUAACACUUGGAAACAGGUGCUAAACCGAUACUGAUGGAUGGACCCGCGGUGCAUGAGCUAGUUGGUGAGGUAACGGCUAACCAAGGCCACGAUGCAUAGCCGACCUGAGAGGGGACUCGGCCACACUGAGACUGAGACACGGCCCAGACUCCUACUGGAGGCAGGAGUAGGGAAGCUUCGGCAAUGGACGAAAGUGUGACCGAGAAACGCCGCGUGAGUGAAGAAGGUUUUCGGAUCGUAAAACUCUGGUGUGAGAGAAGCGGUAUCUAACCAGAAAGCCACGGCUAACUACGUGCCAGCAGCCGCGGUAAUUC